rnacentral:rRNA from 1 species
CGGGGAGGUAGUGACGAAAAAUAACGAUACGGGACUCAUCCGAGGCCCCGUAAUCGGAAUGAGUACACUUUAAAUCCUUUAACGAGGACCAAUUGGAGGGCAAGUCUGGUGCCAGCAGCCGCGGUAAUUCCAGCUCCAAUAGCGUAUAUUAAAGUUGUUGCGGUUAAAAAGCUCGUAGUUGAAUCUGUGUGUCACAGUGUCGGUUCACCGCUCGCGGUGUUUAACUGGCAUUAUGUGGUACGUCCUACCGGUGGGCUUAGCUCCUCGCGGGCGGUCCAACUAAUAUCCCAUCGCGGUGCUCUUCAUUGAGUGUCGAGGUGGGCCGGUACGUUUACUUUGAACAAAUUAGAGUGCUCAAAGCAGGCUACCUUCGCCUGAAUACUCUGUGCAUGGAAUAAUGGAAUAGGACCUCGGUUCUAUUUUGUUGGUUUUCGGAACCCCGAGGUAAUGAUUAAUAGGGACAGAUGGGGGCAUUCGUAUUGCGACGUUAGAGGUGAAAUUCUUGGAUCGUCGCAAGACGGACAGAAGCGAAAGCAUUUGCCAAAAAUGUUUUCAUUAAUCAAGAACGAAAGUUAGAGGUUCGAAGGCGAUCAGAUACCGCCCUAGUUCUAACCAUAAACGAUGCCAGCUAGCGAUCCGCCGAAGUUCCUCCGAUGACUCGGCGGGCAGCUUCCGGGAAACCAAAGCUUUUGGGUUCCGGGGGAAGUAUGGUUGCAAAGCUGAAACUUAAAGGAAUUGACGGAAGGGCACCACCAGGAGUGGAGCCUGCGGCUUAAUUUGACUC